rnacentral:rRNA from 1 species
CGGGUGAGUAAUACUUAGGCAAUCUACCUUCAAGAGGGAAACAACCUGCCGAAAGGCGGGCUAAUGUCCCAUAAGACCACGGGAAUGCAUAUUCCAGGGGUCAAAGCUCCGCAAGGGGCGCUAGAAGCGGAGCCUGAGUCCUAUCAGCUAGUUGGUGAGGUAACGGCUCACCAAGGCUUUGACGGGUAGCCGACCUGAAAGGGUGACCGGCCACACUGGCACUGAGACACGGGCCAG